rnacentral:rRNA from 1 species
AUUGAACGCUGGCGGCAUGCUUUACACAUGCAAGUCGAACGGUAACAGGUCUUCGGAUGCUGACGAGUGGCGAACGGGUGAGUAAUGUAUCGGAACGUGCCCAGUAGUGGGGGAUAACUACUCGAAAGAGUGGCUAAUACCGCAUGAGAACUGAGGUUGAAAGCGGGGGACCUUCGGGCCUCGCGCUACUGGAGCGGCCGAUAUCAGAUUAGGUAGUUGGUGGGGUAAAGGCCUACCAAGCCGACGAUCUGUAGCUGGUCUGAGAGGACGACCAGCCACACUGGGACUGAGACACGGCCCAGACUCCUACGGGAGGCAGCAGUGGGGAAUUUUGGACAAUGGACGCAAGUCUGAUCCAGCAAUGCCGCGUGCAGGACGAAGGCCUCGGUUGUAACUGCUUUGUACUAGACGAAAGGGACGUCUGGUUAAUACCUGGGCGAGAUGACGGUACUGUAAGAAUAAGCACCGGCUAACUACGUGCCAGCAGCCGCGGUAAA